rnacentral:tRNA from 1 species
GUGACCGUAGCUCAAUGGUGGAGCACCUGGUUGUGGCCCAGGAGGUUGGGGGUUCAAAUCCCCUCGGUCACC